rnacentral:tRNA from 1 species
GAUGCCUGUCAGUCUGGGUUCAGACCUAUUGUUGUCAGCGAUGCUGUAAUGGAUCGCGUUGAAGCGUCUCAUGUGCAAAGCCUGAUUGAUAUCA